CAGGACUGACCUUGCUUCUCAUAAACCCCUGAGUAUGGGUUGCUGACUCACAGCCUGAAGGUACUGAAACUUACUCAAAAGAUGCAUGCUUUCAACCUGCCAGGUCACCCCAAUGAUGUCGACUCCUCCUUCAGACCCCCGACGCACACACUUACUCAGAGAGAGUCAACACCUUGGUGAAGCCUAGGGGCUCAACGACUCUUGGGCCUAUUCCAUUGGAGGACGAAAGGCUGGCCUUCCUAUCCAGACAAGAGGACGUCCAGUUGGCCAGGCAACCCUCAGCUUCUAGAACAUCGCUGCUCUUGGGGUCUGCAACACAAACACGGCCAUUUAAGUAUGCUGCUGGAACGCCCGAUGGCCUAUCUUCUUUCCUUCAUUCUGUUUGCAAAACAGGGGAGGCGGGGAGCUGGUGAGAUGGCUCCGUGGGCAAAGGGGCCUUGCUGCCAAGCCUGACAACCUGAGUUUGCCCCCCAGACCUCCCAAGGUGGCAAGAGGGAGCUGCCUCCUGAGGUUGUCCCUGACCUCCACGUGGGCACCAUGGCACGCGCACCCCUGUGCUCACACACACAAUAAAUACUAACAUUUACUAUU